rnacentral:rRNA from 1 species
CAGCCCGCGGUAAUACGGGGGGAGGCGAGGCGUUGUCCGGAAUCACUAGGCGUAAAGGGCAAGUAGGCGGAAACUUAAGUCAGAUGUUAAAUUUAUAGGCUCAACCUAUAAACUGCAUUCGAUACUGGGUUUCUAGAGUCAGACAGGGGAAUGCGGAAUUUCUGGUGUAGCGGUGGAAUGCGCAGAUAUCAGAAAGAACACUCAUGGCGAAGGCAGUGUUCUGGGUCAUGACUGACGCUCAAUUGCGAAGGUGUGGGUAUCAAACAGGAUUAGAGACCCUGGUAGUCCACACAGUAAACGAUAAUCACUAGGUGUCGGGGGAGAAGAUCUUUCGGUGCCGUAGCUAACGCGUUAAGUGAUUCGCCUGGGGAGUACGUCCGCAAGGAUGAAACUCAAAGGAAUUGACGGGAUCCCGCACAAGCGGUGGAGCAUGUGGUUUAAUUCGAUGCAACGCGAAGAACCUUACCUGGGUUUGACAUGUUAUAGAAUCCUAUAGAGAUAUGGGAGUGCCUUUCGGGGAGCUAUAAUACAGGUGCUGCAUGGCUGUCGUCAGCUCGUGUCGUGAGAUGUUGGGUUAAGUCCCGCAACGAGCGCAACCCCUACCAUUAGUUGCCAUCAUUUAGUUGGGGACUCUAGUGGGACUGCCAAUGUAAAAAAUUGGAGGAAGGUGGGGAUGAUGUCAAGUCAUCAUGGUCCUUAUGUCCAGGGCUACACACGUGCUACAAUGGUCGGUACAACGGGUCGCUAGUUAGUGAUAACGUGCUAAUCCCUUAAAGCCGAUCUCAGUUCGGAUUAGAGUCUGCAACUCGACUCUAUGAAGUUGGAAUCGCUAGUAAUCGCGUGUCAGCAUAACGCGGUGAAUACGUUCCCGGGAUUUGUACACACCGCCCGUCAAGUCAACCGAGUUUAGUGCACCCGAAGAUGGUGAGCUAACCAGCAAUGGAAGCAGCUUUCGAAGGUGUGCUCAGCGAGGGGGACU